GUAGUCAGAGGGGAAGGAGCCUCCAGGGAAGAAGUGCCCUGUGAUGCUGAAACUACCUGAGGUGCUGCACCUAGGGCAAAGGGGGCUCUGUGAGCACCACAGGAUGUACAAUGCCCAGAAUGGAUGCAGUCCAUCUCAGCAAGGUGCUGCCAGCCCCUGUGGUGAGCUGGCUCCUUGAGCAGAGACAGCAGGCUCAAGAACAGGAGCAGAGGGAUGAGCCCACAGUAGCUUCACCAAUGUACCGUGGG